UUAAGCUACUUAAACUAGUAUGAUAAAAGCAUUCAAAAUUUAACAAAUUUUCAAACAACAUUAUUUCAUAAAUGACUUUCAGUAGUGAGCUGCGCACUUUAUGUGUAUGCAUGAAUACACAAGUAAUCAAAUACAUUUAAUUGUGAAUGCAUAAUGUUAAACCUUAUUCAAACGCGAUGAAAUGGACAUUUUGAAUUCGAAAUCGGUAAAACCGGAAGAUUUUUUAAGUUGCAAAUACACCAUGACUGGUCAAGAAUGACGUAUAGUCUACUGUUUAAUGUACUUUUUGGACUUUUCAUUUUAAAUGUAUUUGUGCAAUUGAACACCAUUCAUGGGAAAUUUCUUGGUGGUACGAUCUCUUGGAUGGUUCUUCAGAACAAGCUUCGUCUGACAUAUCGCCUAGCAUGGGAAAAAGGGACGGAUGUAACAUCUCGGACGUCGGAAAAGAACUGUCACACUUCAGUACGGAAAUUGCGCAACUUAAAUGGGUGGACGGAAAAGGGACCACUCUCCAUGACGUCAGUUACGUUCUGACAUCAGUCAGUCCAUCAGAUGUGAAUGGCUGGGAACAAGGGGGGCGAUGUUUAAAGCUAGCCUUCCAGCCACUCCUAUGUUUGUUAGGCUGACCGACAUUCCAUGGAUUAUGUCGUCAAACACAAUAGCCACUGAAAUAGGACUGCUGGAGACUGUGAUAAGAACUGAUUUAAGCUGGAGACUGUGAUAAGAACUGACUUAAGAACUGACAAGGGAACACGUAACCAGAGUCCAUAUUCUUUCCUUCCGUCCUUUCUUGGAAUUCCGCUCAACUGCACGAGCGUGUUCGAGAUCCCUGUCGAGGACCCGGGUGGAGACAGGGUAAGGUGUCGAUGGGCGGAGCCAAGUGAAUGUGGAGAAGGAUGCACCAACCUCCC